AGAAGACAAUGUGAUAUAUGGAGGAAAGGGGGAGAUUGGGAAGAAAGGCUUUGAGUGUGGGCCACUUGUUUAAAAAGUUUGGUCAUAAAAGGAAAUUAAGAAACAAGUUAGGAAGGAGCAGUAGCAUCAGUUGGAGGCUUUUAUGAGAAAAGGACAAGGAUACUUGUGGCUUUUUGAAGGCCAAGAGAAGAGAACCAGCAGAGAGUUAUUGACCAAAGGGUGUUGCGGAUCCUUUGAAGCCAAGGACUGGAACGGACAUGCAAGACCUCUACCAACUGAGGGUUUUAUGAGCACACUCCCUUGCCAAGAUCUUGGUGAAUAGCCUUUCACUGUGCAAUUGUGUCUUAGACAUUGUUUUACUUGUUAUCAUGAUCGUGCUUAGCUGGAUGCUUUUUGUUGGACUUGCAUGUUACAUGGGCACAUUUCCAGAGUCCAUGCCUCCAACUCUGAGGUGGAACGAGAAGUGGCCUAUUCAGGACAACAAGACACGCCUGAGGAGCCUGACUUUGGAUGAAGAACCACAACUAUGAGAACCAUGUGGAAAGGAUAUAAGUAUCCCCCCGGAGGGAUCCCGGUGGAAGUAAGCAAAGAUGAUCCUGGUGAAGUCAUGCAGCUCUGAAGCUCACCUGACCAGCUGUACAGUUCCUGUUGUUGGUUUCGCAUAAAGUAAUUGCACCUUA